rnacentral:misc_RNA from 1 species
GUGAAUCAUCGAAUCUUUGAACGCACAUUGCGCCCUCUGGUAUUCCGGGGGGCAUGCCCGUUCGAGCGUCAUUACAACCCUCAAGCUCUGCUUGGUGUUGGGCAGCACUGCCCGGUGCGCCCCAAAACCAGUGGCGGCGCCGUCUGGCUUCAAGCGUAGUAACACUUCUCGCUUCGGGACCAGGCGUGCUCCUGCCAGCAACCCACACUUUUCAAAGGUUGACCUCGGAUCGGGUAGGGAUACCCGCUGAACUUAAGCAUAUCAAUAAGCGGAGGA